rnacentral:lncRNA from 1 species
UUGGCAUGUGCACUUCUUGUUCCUGCCAUAUGAGUCUGUUAGAAUACGAACAUAAAUUAUUUUGAGCAGAUGUGAACUAAUGUUACCCUACUUGAAGAAAAGAAAGGAAAAACCUGCCGGACAACUCUGUUGUCACCUAAAAGAAAAGCACUGAUGAGCUCCAAAUAGAUGGAAAGUCGAUUCCUACAGUUGCCCUGUUUUGCCACGCGGUGGCGCUGAUGCACCAGGAAGACACCACGGCUCUGGAGCGAGCAGCUGCUCUGCUGGCUUGGAUCUGUCCCAGAAACGUCUGAGGGAGGUGGUGACCCUGAGAAGGGAAAUGGACAAGAUGAUGAGCCAGAGAAAAUGGAUGAAAGCCUUUGAACCCCUCAGAAGACCUCAGCUCAAAGGUUACUACGUCACCGAAUCUCUCCCUGACCACCACGCUGUGAAGUAGCCUGGGAAGAAAGGCCAUCUCAGCUCUUCCAGCUGUCCUACCUGAAGCCUGAACAUGUGAGUGAAACCACUGUGGACUCCCAGCUUUUGCUGAGCCCUCAGGUUUCUGCAGCUGUAGGAGUGAAUUCACGUGAGGCGAGUGGCAGAGCUACCCGAUCGACCUUCACAAUUGUGCUAAAUAAUAAAUAAGUAAACGAUGACUGUUUUUA